rnacentral:rRNA from 1 species
CCUACGGGGGGCUGCAGUGGGGAAUAUUGGACAAUGGGGGCAACCCUGAUCCAGCCAUGCCGCGUGUGUGAAGAAGGCCCUCGGGUUGUAAAGCACUUUCAGUGAGGAAGAACGCCUGGUGGUUAAUACCCAUCAGGAAAGACAUCACUCACAGAAGAAGCACCGGCUAACUCCGUGCCAGCAGCCGCGGUAAUACGGAGGGUGCGAGCGUUAAUCGGAAUUACUGGGCGUAAAGCGCGCGUAGGUGGCUUGAUAAGCCGGUUGUGUAAGCCCCGGGCUCAACCUGGGAACGGCAUCCGGAACUGUCAAGCUAGAGUGCAGGAGAGGAAGGUAGAAUUCCCGGUGUAGCGGUGAAAUGCGUAGAGAUCGGGAGGAAUACCAGUGGCGAAGGCGGCCUUCUGGACUGACACUGACACUGAGGUGCGAAAGCGUGGGUAGCAAACAGGAUUAGAUACCCCGGUAGUC